ACGGUUUGCUCAGUUUCCCCCCUCAAUGAGUUGUAGUGCGUCCAUUGCAAUGAAUUGGUGUCGAAGACAAGCAGGGUGUGGUGUCCGCCAUCCGUUAUUGCUGCAGAUUAUUUGAAAGGAAAGAGUACCUUUAUCUGGUUGUUCUUUAGAUGAUGAAGCUUCGCGCUGAGUUCUUGAAGACUCCAUUUGACAGCAGCUGGUGUCAUUUGUUCUCUUCCAGGAAUUGGAGUGAGCAGUGUCUGGUGUUUGUUUUUGAAACGAGAUCAAUCUUGGUGGUGGUUAUGGAGUCUCGGUUUCGACGACGAUGAAGACGAAUUGAUGAAGACGAUUUGACUUGAUGAAGACGAUGAGUGAAGUGAAGAGACGUUUU